rnacentral:rRNA from 1 species
GCGCGAAAACUUUACAAUGCUGGCAACAGCGAUAAGGGAACCUCGAGUGCCAGGUUACAAAUCUGGCUGUCGAGAUGCCUAAAAAGCAUUUCAUAGCAAGGGCCGGGCAAGACCGGUGCCAGCCGCCGCGGUAACACCGGCGGCUCGAGUGGUAACCGUUAUUAUUGGGUCUAAAGGGUCUGUAGCCGGUCGGAUAAGUCUCUUGAGAAAUCUGGCAGCUUAACUGUCAGGCUUUCAGGAGAUACUGUCUGGCUCGAGGCCAGGAGAGGUGAGAGGUACUUCAGGGGUAGGGGUGAAAUCUUGUAAUCCUUGAAGGACCACCAGUGGCGAAGGCGUCUCACCAGAACGGACCUGACGGCAGGGGACGAAAGCUAGGGGCACGAACCG